ACUCCUACGGGAGGCAGCAGUAAGGAAUAUUGGGCAAUGGGCGGGAGCCUGACCCAGCCAUGCCGCGUGCAGGAAGACGGCCCUAUGGGUUGUAAACUGCUUUUGUUUGGGACUAACAGCCGGGUCGUGACCCGGCCUGCAGGUACCGAAUGAAUAAGCAUCGGCUAACUCCGUGCCAGCAGCCGCGGUAAUACGGAGGAUGCGAGCGUUAUCCGGAUUUAUUGGGUUUAAAGGGUGCGUAGGCUGGUAAUUAAGUCAGUGGCGAAAUACUCCGGCUCAACCGGGGGGCUGCCGUUGAUACUGGUUACCUUGAGUUUAGAUGAUGUGGGCGGAAUGUGUCAUGUAGCGGUGAAAUGCAUAGAGAUGACACAGAACACCGAUAGCGAAGGCAGCUCACAAAGCUAUUACUGACGCUGAUGCACGAAAGCGUGGGGAUCAAACAGGAUUAGAUACCCUGGUAGU
rnacentral:rRNA from 1 species